UUGGCUAACUUCUUUUUGGCACUAUCAGAAUAUUCUAUAAAAAGGUUGAAUAUGUGCUUGAAGAUUGUAACGAGGUUCUCGUCAAAAUCAACAAAUUUUUCGUCAACAAAGAAGGCUUAGUAUGUGUGGAAACGUUGUGUAUGCCUGUUACUAAACCAGAAAGAUUUGAGUUGGAUGCUUUUGUGUUAGAUGAACCUGAAGAUGCUGGCAGGUAUAUAGUUAGAAAGAGCAUAAAGAGUGCAAAAGACAUAGUUCGUUUCCCUUUCCAACAGAAUGCCACCAUACUUUACUUAUUGCACACUGUGUACAGAGGCAGAGAGAAUCUCCCAUUACUUACUGUGCACUAUGUUGCCUUGAAAUUGUGGAAACUCCAAGGAUGUUUGAUGUACCUGAAUCUCAGGAUUUUGACAUUCCAAUUUUUAUUGAGAUAAAAUCCUUUUGGAAUCUCCCGAAACAAAUGAAGUGCCUCAUUUGAUGGAUGAGGAAACAAAUUCAUGUGGAACUAUAUAACCAAUCAGAAUUAUUAGCUGGCUUUGGAAAGUUGUCAGUUUGAUUAUUGCUUACAAGAUUGGCUUAUGAUGGUCUUCUUUAAUGAUGUACCGGAAAGUUGCAAGUUGCCUACUUCAGAGUUUUCUGUGUGCAAGAAAACAAAGAGAGGAGGACAUUGUAAACUUUUCACAAGUUUUUGUAGGCCAGGCACGGAAAGAAUCUGCACUGCUAUUUAAAGAAAAGUUUGGUGACUAAUUUUCUUAUGGCAGUGAUGCAGAAACUUGAGUUAUGUUUUCUUGUCUUACUACUCUGCUUUUUCUGUAGAUGACAUACUUUGUUAAAGGAUGAAAAAUUGUUCUUCGUAACUAUCAAUUCUACUUUUAUCUGAGUGAUGAUAACAGCAAAAUGUGGAAUUGUAAUUGUCCAGUCGGUUUGUUUGUCAAACAAUA